rnacentral:rRNA from 1 species
GACGAACGCUGGCGGCGUGCUUAACACAUGCAAGUCGAACGGAAAGGCCUCUUUCUGGGGGUACUCGAGUGGCGAACGGGUGAGUAACACGUGAGUAACCUGCCCUUGUCUUUGGGAUAAUUUCAGUAAACUGGGGCUAAUACCGGAUAGGAGCUCCUGUUGCAUGCUUGGGGUUGGAAUGUUUCGGGGGUUUGGGAUGGACUCGCGGCUUAUCCGCUUGUUGGUGGGGUAGUGGCUUACCAAGGCUUUGGCGGGUAGACGGUCUGGGAGAGUGACCGGCCGCCCAGGGACUUACGUGCGGCACAGGCUGCGACGGGGCGGAACAGGGGGGAAUAUUGCAGGAUGGGUGGAAGGCUAGUGCAGAAACGCCGCGGGCGGGAUGACGGUCUUCUGGUUGGAAAACAAUUUUGCACAUGACUAAGCUCUGCGUGACGGUAGUGAGUAAAGAAGCAACGGCUAACUACGUG